GAUGAACGCUGGCGGCGUGCCUAAUACAUGCAAGUCGAACGCACAGCGAAAGGUGCUUGCACCUUUCAAGUGAGUGGCGAACGGGUGAGUAACACGUGGACAACCUGCCUCAAGGCUGGGGAUAACAUUUGGAAACAGAUGCUAAUACCGAAUAAAACUUAGUGUCGCAUGACACAAAGUUAAAAGGCGCUUUGGCGUCACCUAGAGAUGGAACCGCGGUGCAUUAGUUAGUUGGUGGGGUAAAGGCCUACCAAGACAAUGAUGCAUAGCCGAGUUGAGAGACUGAUCGGCCACAUUGGGACUGAGACACGGCCCAAACUCCUACGGGAGGCUGCAGUAGGGAAUCUUCCACAAUGGGCGAAAGCCUGAUGGAGCAACGCCGCGUGUGUGAUGAAGGCUUUCGGGUCGUAAAGCACUGUUGUAUGGGAAGAACAGCUAGAAUAGGGAAUGAUUUUAGUUUGACGGUACCGUACCAGAAAGGGACGGCUAAAUACGUGCCAGCAGCCGCGGUAA
rnacentral:rRNA from 1 species